GACAGCGAUUUCAUCCGCACCCUGCGGGGCAACGUGGGGGCCUAUCCGUAGCUUUCAGCGUUUCCUGGACCCUACCAGGACAAGAAUCGCGGGGAGAGGUGCGAAGAAGGUCUGGAGAGGAGGAGGCUUGGGACAAUGCAGAGUCCUGGAAGUGAGGCUGACCGCUGACCGCUGUCAGGAGGGACAUGGACCGCUGCCGGGGAAUCAUGGGAUUUCCCACCGGCCCAGUCAUCUCCCACGUCGGGAAAAGGGAAGAGCUGCUUCCCCAUGGCGUGUGCGCGUGGGAAGGGUCUCGGGCAGAGAAGAGGCACUUUUUCUGUCCUCCAGGCUGUUUCCGCCAAAUGAAGACCUGGGCUGGAAGAGCCAGGAACAAAGAGGAGAGUCGAGUGCUGAGCACCCAGCGGGAGAGGAUGCAGCCCGGUCAUCUCACACCUGCUGACCACACAACAUCGUCUGCGAGUUCCCCCCACCUACUUCGCCUGCAGCUGCCAUUUGGGAAGAUGACUCUUGCCUCUUUCACCGUCUGUUUUUUAGAUUAGGACUCACGGGCCUAGGGCAGGAGUCAGCUCUUCCAGAUCUUUAUCGAAAAGUAACAUCACACUUGUGCCCAGGGGUUCGAGACCAGCCUGGGCAACAGGACAAACCCCCUUCUCUACAAAAAAACCCACAAAAUCUGUGUGGAAGGUGUGUGAACCCUUGGGAAACAGAGUUGCUGUACACGUGUAUCAGGCCCUGAGCCAGCUGCAGGGUGGGCAUUACUGCUUGGUGCCCUCCGCCCUCACUCUUCCUCCCUGGAUGUUGAGGAUGGCCCCGUAAACCUUGUUCAUAGGGGUCCCUCGUUUUCUGAGACACCUCAUCUGAGCACUGACGAGGGGACACAACUCUUGGCUGGGAAGCAGGAGACUGAGCAUUGCCUUCAAGCCAUCCCCACACAUGUGACCUCAGUCAGCAUUCUGCCCUUUCAUGGGUGUCAGUUGUCUCGUCCAUAAAAUGGGAUGAUGUUCUUGUUCCAGCCGGCAUACUGGAUGACUAAAUGAGGGAACAGAGAUGCAUGCCUCAGGCCAAUGAAGAUGAAGAUCAUGUACCCAUCAAGGCAAAAGAGAAAAGCACUGCACUCCAACCCGGGCAACAGAAUUAUUAUUAUUAUUUUUUAAGAGAUAGGAUAUCAUUCUAUUGCUCAGGCUGGAGUACAGUCGUGCGAUCAUAGCUCACUGUAAUCUUGAACACGUGGACUCAAGUGCUCCUCCUACCUCAGCCUCUAGGUAGCUGGGACUAGGGGUGUGUGCCACCACACCUGGCUAAUUUUUCUAUUUUUUUUUCAAUAGAUGGGGUCUUGCUGUGCUGCCCAGGCUGGUCUUGAACUCCUGAGCUCAAGCAAUCCCCUUGCCUCAGCUUCCCAAAGUAUGGGGAUUACAGGCGUGAGCCAUUGUGCCUGGCCCAAAAUUUUUCAAAUAUCAUCCUUUUAAGCUUCAAAUGUUACCAACAUUGGCGAAUGCAACCAGAGGAGACAUAACACAUAAAACAUGGGGGGUUUAUCCACAAGGAGAAUUCACUAUCUUGCUGGUGUUAGGAUCUGUCCUUCCAGGGAGGAUACGCCAUGAGUCAGAAGUAGAUGCCACUCAGCAAAAAAAAAAGAAA
rnacentral:lncRNA from 1 species